CUUAGCUUCGCUCUGCCUCAAGUGCAACCACAUGUCUUCGCGGGCAAUUUCCUUUCGACGAUGUUUACAACAGGGGCGGAGUUAUUCCUAAGUCCCAACCACGCUUUAACAUGCGCAACGGCGCGUCGGUGUUCACCGAGGCAUCGGUCAUGGUGGGCCCUGCUCCGCGAGUUCCAUGGUGCCCUUGACUACAAACACAACGUAUACUAAAGAGCAAACGACAUACAAGAGCUGCGAGUCGGUGCACUGUGCACCCUGUCUCUGUUGUACAGUCGUCUAUGCUGCGAAGCGAAACGCAGUGUGCGGCAGCUUUCAGCAUAAGUCACUCACUGGGACAUCGUGGAAUCUCUCAUCUUGUUCAGCAUCAUCAGUGUUUUGGGGCGUAGAUAAAGAUGAAAAAUAAAGAGAACCUUUGGAGCGACAGUCGUCCUAAUAAGCUUUUGAUUAACCGGCUUGAAUAUCCCCACAGU
rnacentral:lncRNA from 1 species